GCUUCUGAGUCUGCGCAGAAGGAUCAUCAGUGAUGAUUGAAUCCGGAUCACGCCUCCUCUUCCAGGCAGCUUUCCCAGACCCUCAGAAGUAAAGCAGAUUGAACAUCUUACGGUUUGAUUAUGCUUUUAAGCAGGACCUGUUCAAACCGGCUCUGUAAUUCCAUCAUAGGGGAGGCUGAACCAGGAGGAGAAUUGAGAGUUCAAGGCCAGCCUAAACUACAUAGUGAAUUUCAAGCUAGUUUGGAUUACACAGCGAGUUUCUGUCUCAUCAAAACAGCACAUUUACGGAAUUACAAGACCCUGGGUGAAAUAUUCUAUGCUUUGACCAGAAGAGAAUCUGAGGUCUUUUUUGUCUUCCAGGUGCGGUGGAGCUGAGUUCCACCAGUCUGAGCUCGCAGGGGCCUUUGUUCACGGUUCUAAGAGGCUUUGUUCUCAGUCUUCUGAGAUGCUCUGUUCUCAACGUUCUGAAGUUCUAAAUCUGAGCCUGCCUGCUUUCGAAGGCUGCAUUCUGCCUCUUCUCACUGGGCAAGCCGGGCUAGCGCCCCCUCACGCGGCCAGCAUGUGUCACUACACCCGGUGUGUCGGCAACGUUUGUGAAAUAGCCCAUUUCUCAGACGGACCUUUGACUCCUUAAAAGCUCAGAUCUGGAAGGGAGGAUGGGGCCGUAGAAUCGCGGUGAGUUCGAGGCCAAUCUGGGCUAACUAUGACAGCCUGUCAUUGAAAGAAAAAUAUAGUGUGAAACUGUCUUUUAUAAUGUUUUAUGAUCAUCUGGCAAUAACCAACUUUGAUGUGGUGAGUCUAUGCCACUUUAAGGCAGAGUAACACUAGGAAACGUAUUUGGUCUCUCUGUGCUCUUCAUCUACAUCUAAAAAAAAGUUAUUCUGAACGUUUAACAGCAUAAUUAUGUUUUGUUUUGCUUUUUGAGGGUUUCACUAAGUAACCCUGGCUGAACUGUAACUAUGUAGACCAGACUGGCUUGUUACUUUCAGACCACCUCUGGGUUGUAUCUGACUCCCCCUACUCCAGUGCUCGUAUUAAAGGAGUGGGUCACCACGUAUAACCCUGUUAUUUUUUAUUAUUUUUUUUUUUUGGAGUAACAGCUUCUACCACUCAUAAAGAACUGAGUCUUGGGCAUGGUGAGUCAUAUCUGUAAUCCCAGCACUGGAGAAAUGGCUCCGUGAUUUAAGAGUGCUGUUGCUCUUCCAGAAGACCUGGGUUCGGUUUCUGGCACACAGAGAGAAAAAGAGGCUCACAGUCCUCUUUAACUCCAGCAUCAGAGGAUCCACUGUCCUCUUCUGGUCUCCUCAGGCAACUGCACUCUGUGCGUGAGUGCACACAUACACCACACACUGAAAUAUUUAGUCUUGCUGGGCAGUGGUGGCGCACACCUUUACUCUCACAGCACUUGGGAGGCAGAAGUAGGCAGAUUUCUGAGUUUGAAGCCAGCCUGGUCUACAGAGUGAGUUUCAGGACAGCCAGGGCUACACAGAGAAACCCUGUCUCAAAAAUUUUUUUUAAAAUUUCUUUUCAUGGUGCCAAGAGUGGUGGCUCAGGUCUGCCACUCUCGUGCUCUAAGUGAUUAGGCAGGAAGAUCUGCAGGUCCAGGCUAGCCUGGGCUACAUGGCAAGACCAAACAAAAGACUGGAGAUGAGGCGCAAUAGUUGAGGCUUUGUCUAGAAUCCUACUAGUUUCAGCCCCCAGUACAUGAACAGUCAUGGCAAAUGAAGCCUCAGUUUACUCUCAGCUGUUGGAGGGUUGAGGGCUAAAAGUUGCGGUGACCAAGCAACUGGAGAACUGGGCAGGGAUCCAGAGUUAGAAAGGACAGCAUGAUGGCAGGAACCCUCAGGAGACAAAUGUAGGUGGGUAGUGAGUGCUAGGCUAGCCUGGUCUAGUGAGCUCCAGGACAGCCAGAGCUAGGUAGAGAGACUUGGUCUCUAAACAAAUU
ensembl:lincRNA 9330104G04Rik RIKEN cDNA 9330104G04 gene